rnacentral:rRNA from 1 species
UGGGGAAUUUUGGACAAUGGGCGAAAGCCUGAUCCAGCCAUGCCGCGUGAGUGAAGAAGGCCUUCGGGUUGUAAAGCUCUUUUAGUCGGAAAGAAAGAGUUGCAAUGAAUAAUUGUGAUUUAUGACGGUACCGACAGAAAAAGCACCGGCUAACUACGUGCCAGCAGCCGCGGUAAUACGCAGGGUGCGAGCGUUAAUCGGAAUUACUGGGCGUAAAGGGUGCGCAGGCGGUCUUGCAAGUCAGAUGUGAAAGCCCCGGGCUUAACCUGGGAAUUGCGUUUGAAACUACAAGGCUAGAGUGCAGCAGAGGGGAGUGGAAUUCCAUGUGUAGCAGUGAAAUGCGUAGAGAUGUGGAAGAACACCGAUGGCGAAGGCAGCUCCCUGGGUUGACACUGACGCUCAUGCACGAAAGCGUGGGGAGCAAACA